rfam:Picea glauca, whole genome shotgun sequence.
UCUUGUGUACAUGCCUACAGUGUAGCGUUAAUUGCACUGGAUCCCAUUAGAACUCCACAAUUCAGCGUGCUCGGGCUAGAGUAGUACUGGGAUGGGUGACUGCCUGGGAAGUCCUAGUGUUUUACAUGCC